rnacentral:rRNA from 1 species
AACGAACGCUGGCGGCAGGCUUAACACAUGCAAGUCGAACGCCCCGCAAGGGGAGUGGCAGACGGGUGAGUAACGCGUGGGAACAUACCCUUUGGUGCGGAACAACAACUGGAAACGGUUGCUAAUACCGCAUGAGUCCUACGGGGGAAAGAUUUAUCGCCAAAGGAGUGGCCCGCGUCGGAUUAGCUAGUUGGUGGGGUAAUGACCUACCAAGGCGACGAUCCGUAGCUGGUCUGAGAGGGUGAGCAGCCACACUGGGACUGAGACACGGCCCAGACUCCUACGGGCGGGAGCAGUGGGGAAUAUUGGACAAUGAGCGCAAGCCUGAUCCAGCCAUGCCGCGUGAGUGAUGGAGGCCCUAGGCUUGUAUAGCUCUUUCAGCGAGGAGGAUAAAGACGUUACUCGCAGAAGAAGCCCCGGCUAACUUCGUGCCAGCCGCCGCAGUAA